AUUCCGGUUGAUCCUGCCGGACCCGACUGCUAUUUGGGUGAGGAUAAGCCAUGCGAGUUGAAUGGGAUACCCAAAGUUCCCAUGGCAAACUGCUCAGUAACACAUGAUCAACUUACCCUAUAG
rnacentral:rRNA from 1 species